rnacentral:ncRNA from 1 species
UGGUGCAUGGCCGUUCUUAGUUGGUGGAGUGAUUUGUCUGGUUAAUUCCGUUAACGAACGAGACCUUAACCUGCUAAAUAGUUACGCUAAUCUGGUAUACCUGCACCUUAGCUGACAAGUCCUGUGAUUUUCGCAAGAAAAAUAAGUUACUCCAAUUUCAGCUUGCAGGCCUCAAAAUGUGCUCGAGUUUUUUUUUUAGUUCCAAGGUACACAUUGGAGAAAAAAAUUGCAUUGAUACCGU